rnacentral:misc_RNA from 1 species
UGCCGUCCAGGAGAGCCCGAACACCUGCGGUGGCCUCUCUUCGUUUCGCGAGUUCUUUCUACGUUAGUGCUGAUAGGCGUGCGGUCGCACGCAACCGGUUUCGUUUUCAGUUUUCACUUGUGUCGUGCGUUUACACUGCAACCGGGCUUUUCGACCUUCACCACCUCUUCCGAAAAAAGAAGGCGAGAGCGCACGGUGCGCAGGCGCUGCCAUGCACAGCUGGCAUGGGUGUGCCGCAUCCAUGCAAGGCGUGCGGUUGUCCGAUGCGCAAGAGUGAUGGGCGAAAAAGGGCGCGAAGGGCACCAUACGAAUCGACGCCAGGGCGCAUGUGUGCGCAGAGCAUGCGGCGUCUCCUGCGUCCGACGCGGUGGGCUGAUAUGAGGGCACGGGUGCCGGAAGCAUGGCAUACGGCCGGGUUGCAGAGGCUCUGAAGGGCUCUCACCGGAGGCUGGCCGGCUUGUUCCUCGAGCUCAUUCGGCACGCGCCUGGCCCACCACCACCACCACCACCCCUGCUACCCUGCAGGGCGGCUCGUUCUCGGCGACCAGGAGAUGUCGCCGCCGUGCGGCCAGAGGGUUUGGGCGCUGUGGUUGCGGAGGCGUGUACGCGCUGUUGCAGACGUGUUCGUGGUGAGAUGGACACGUCCAAGAGGAAAAACAAGGAGCGAAAAUGUUUUCUUUUACGUUGAUGGUUUUGUCGCUGGCAAACAAGUGGUCAAGUAUCUGUGCGAAUCGAGUUAGUGCAGUGAAGCUGCUGCGGUGUGUUGGCGAAGUCAGGUAGCCUGUCGGUUUCUCUUCCUAGCAGCGGCACAUGCUACCUGCACCACUUCUCUGGUAAGUCCUCGUGCACACCAUCUAUAGGAAGCAGCGGUGUCCCUGCGGUCGACACCCUUCAGGAGGGGCAGACGCGUCAUAUGCAGCAGGGACGCGUAUUCGAGGCGGUGUUGGUGCUUGAAUGUCUGAAAACCCUUCUCAACCUCCAUCUUGUUCUUUUUUUGUUGUUGUUCCUUUUGUUUCUUAUGUUUUUUGUUUGUUUUUCGCUGCUAG